rnacentral:rRNA from 1 species
AGUGAACGCUGGCGGUAGGCCUAACACAUGCCAGUCGAACGGCAGCACAGUAAGAGCUUGCUCUUACGGGUGGCGAGUGGCGGACGGGUGAGGAAUACAUCGGAAUCUACUUUUUCGUGGGGGAUAACGUAGGGAAACUUACGCUAAUACCGCAUACGACCUACGGGUGAAAGCAGGGGAUCUUCGGACCUUGCGCGAUUGAAUGAGCCGAUGUCGGAUUAGCUAGUUGGCGGGGUAAAUGCCCACCAAGGCGACGAUCCGUAGCUGGGCUGAGUGGAUGAUGAGCCACACUGAAACUGAGACACGGUCCAGACUCCUACGGGAGGCAGCAGUGGGGAAUAUUGGACAAUGGGCGCAAGCCUGAUCCAGCCAUACCGCGUGGGUGAAGAAGGCCUUCGGGUUGUAAAGCCCUUUUGUUGGGAAAGAAAAGCAGCAGGUUAAUACCCCGCUGUUCUGACGGUACCCAAAGAAUAAGCACCGGCUAACUUCGUG